rnacentral:lncRNA from 10 species
UCCACUCUAUUUUAGCUGGACGAUGAUUCCACAGAGAAGAGUUCAUUUCCUGCCCUGUUUCCAGCAAGGAGUGAGAGAGGCGAAGAGACUUACCCAAGGCGAUGCUGGGAGACAUCCUCAGAAUCCGGAUUCCAGUCCCAGCCAGUCUGUCCUCUGACUCAUGUUCUUCCAGCCGCGUCUGGAGGCGUCCAGAUGGCCAAAAAUCCAAAAGAAGCAAAUCAAUAGUGAAAACCACAGACCAAAAAAAAAUGGUAGGGAAGAGGAGGCAGAAGAGAAGAAGAAAGAGAAGGAAGAGGAAGAAGAAAAAGAAAGCCCAGGACUCUCCCUGGUCCUCACUGAAGAACAUUUUUGCAUGUAUUUGAAGAACACACAUGCAGUAUUGCAUUACGUCCGGUACCUGCCAUCAAGCUCUGGCCUCAUCUCUUUCCACUCACCUAUCCACACAUAAGCCACUGGGCUCCCAGAAGAAAAGGGAUGAUUCACCCAGAUAUGAGCCAAGCACGAUUUGGGCAGCCCUUUGACAAACACAACGGUCGCCAGUAAAUGGGGAUCCAGAAGACGUCAGCCCCACCUUCUGAGGCCAACGUCUCGUCUCAGGGUUCCAGGCCAAGCUGUGCCCUCAUUUGAGCUUGAAGCCAAAUGACACUCAGCAUGACAUCCAUGGUGUAGGUUUUCUAUAUAUCACAAAUAGAAAUUCAAUUCAACAUAGAG